UAUAUGGAAAAUAAUCACUGGUUUAUACACAUAUUACACGACGUUUCGGCAAGCAUUCUCUUGUCGUUUUCAAGUACAAAUUUGUUAUAUGUGUACAAACCAGUGAUUGUUUCCAUAAUUUGUGUGUUGUGUUUUUGUUUAUCGCCAAAUGCCACUCAAAGAUCGUAUAACAUAUUCGUGUUCUAAAAUGGUCCAUUAAUAACUGGAAACGGAUACGGCACUUAUAGUUUAUAACCUGGAAACGGAUUCGGCUAACCUGGAAACUGAAGAUCAAAAGGUGAAGAAAAGGUGGUUAUUGGAUUAGAUGUACAUCAAGACUGAGACUGAGUCAACAAGAAAUUAAGAAACAUGGAGAAUUCCGUAUUUUCCGAUAUGAAGAAGGACAAGUACUUAACCAAGAAAGACAGAUCUACACCAUUGGAUCAGGCCAUGCUCUUUGCUACAUUCGAUCUCCACCGAGCUGUAGAAAAUAAACCUUUUGUGCAGACCAUGAUCAUGAAAACCAUAACCCGCCCAGCCUACGCCACUUACCUUUCACAGCUGUAUUUUAUAUACAAGGCUAUGGAAGAGGUGGGUGAACAUUGCCAAAAUGAUCCAUUCGUUAAGCCCCUGUAUUUUCCCACCGAGCUAAACCGAGAAAAGGCUUUGAUCGAAGAUCUUGUUUACUUCUAUGGAGAUAAA